rnacentral:rRNA from 1 species
UACGGAGGGUGCAAGCGUUAUCCGGAUUCACUGGGCUUAAAGGGUGCGUAGGUGGGCAGGUAAGUCAGUGGUGAAAUCUCCGGGCUUAACCCGGAAACUGCCGUUGAUACUAUUUGUCUUGAAUAUUGUGGAGGUAAGCGGAAUAUGUCAUGUAGCGGUGAAAUGCUUAGAUAUGACAUAGAACACCAAUUGCGAAGGCAGCUUACUACACAACGAUUGACGCUGAGGCACGAAAGCGUGGGGAUCAAACAGG